rnacentral:rRNA from 1 species
GACGAACGCUGGCGGCGUGCUUAACACAUGCAAGUCGAACGGAAAGGCCCUGCUUUUGUGGGGUGCUCGAGUGGCGAACGGGUGAGUAACACGUGAGUAACCUGCCCUUGACUUUGGGAUAACUUCAGGAAACUGGGGCUAAUACCGGAUAGGAGCUCCUGCUGCAUGGUGGGGGUUGGAAAGUUUCGGCGGUUGGGGAUGGACUCGCGGCUUAUCAGCUUGUUGGUGGGGUAGUGGCUUACCAAGGCUUUGACGGGUAGCCGGCCUGAGAGGGUGACCGGCCACAUUGGGACUGAGAUACGGCCCAGACUCCUACGGGAGGCAGCAGUGGGGAAUAGUGCACAAUGGGCGGAAGCCUGAUGCAGCAACGCCGCGUGCGGGAUGACGGCCUUCGGGUUGUAAACCGCUUUCGCCUGUGACGAAGCGUGAGUGACGGGAAUGGGUAAAGAAGCACCGGCUAACUACGU